rnacentral:sRNA from 1 species
CGCACGCGCAUCUGACGGUUGUCUAGGUUACUCAUCCCCAGCAGCAGAGUGAGACCCUGUCAAAAAAAAAAGAAAGAAAGAAAAUAGAAGCCAAGAAUGGAGACCCAAAUGACUGUUCAGAGUUUCUUCGUGGGUUGUCUUCUGGCCUCAGAGUAUCCCUUAUCAGAACCUUGGGCCCCUGGGCCCCUUCACUCAGUACUUGGUGGACCACCAUCACACCCUCCUGUGCAAUGGGUAUUGGCUUGCCUGGCUGAUUCAUGUGGGAGAGUCCUUGUAUGCCAUAGUAUUGUGCAAGCAUAAAGGCAUCACAAGUGGUCGGGCUCAGCUACUCUGGUUCCUACAGACUUUCUUCUUUGGGAUAGUGUCUCUCACCAUCUUGAUUGCUUACAAAGGGAAACGCCAAAAACAAACUUGAAGUUGUCUGAAAGCUUGCUCUACACUUUUACAUUCAUCCUCACCUUUUUUUUGUGGGGUAGAGGAGGUGCAGUAUUUACUCAGUGAUCUUUCUACUUUCUGGAAACUGUCCUUCAAAGCUCUUUAAGACCCCCUCGUUAGUCAGUUUUUUCUCUUAUAUGCUCUGGUUGAGCUUGAAUAGACCAGUUAUUACUUAAGAAGAAACAGAGAAAGAUUUUAGCUUUUCAAUCCUAUUUGGCAGAGGACUUCAGCUACCUUCUUACGGUCUUUGGCUGUGUUGGUGCCCUUGUGUGCUCUGAGCUAAGCCACAUACUAAAUUGACUUUUUGGUUUGUAUACCCUUGCUCCCGCCUUCUGAUGAAAACACCUUACCCUCACAACCACCAUCUUUCCUCUGCUUUCCAAAGCUCUUUCCACCUUGCUGCACUAAG